CUAGCUCAGUCCUGGCCCACUGCGCCAGCGCUGAGCCUGCCAGGGCUGGGGCUGGGGAUCACCUUGGGAUGAUGGUGUCAGUCCCAGGGGGCAGGAGAUCGAGUGUCCUCUGAGCUGGCGACUGGGCCUGUAGAAGGGAACCGGCAUUUGUGGAGUGUCUACUGAGUGCCAAGGUCUGCGCUGGGCACUGUCCUCGCACCGCCUCACCUAGUCCUCACGUAGCCCUCGGGCAAGUGAGGAUCCGCCGGGACUGCGGCUGGGAGGGAUGGCUGUGGCUGUCCCCCAGCCCACACAGUAGGCGCUCAGUGUCAGGGUGCAUAUUCCCGGGGACGCCCUCCAGGCCUGAGAGCUGGGGGCCGCCGCCGCCCCCCAUGCAUCCGCCCUAGCUCAGAGGCUCAGAUUGGGCUGUGAAGACCUUGCUGCAUAUGGGUUCACCUGAGCCACCAGGCACGGGCCAUGCUGAUGAUACCAGCUUUCAGGGCUACAGAUGGUGCCACUGCCUUGGAGCCCUGUUGCCCAGGCUGGUCUCAAACUCCUGGAAGGCACAGACAUUUCCUGGACACCUGCUGCA
rnacentral:lncRNA from 1 species